GUGUCAGCAGCCGCGGUAAUACGUAGGGUGCGAGCGUUAAUCGGAAUUACUGGGCGUAAAGCGUGCGCAGGCGGUCUCGUAAGCUGGGUGUGAAAGCCCCGGGCUUAACCUGGGAAUGGCAUUCAGGACUGCGAGGCUCGAGUGUGGCAGAGGGAGGUGGAAUUCCACGUGUAGCAGUGAAAUGCGUAGAGAUGUGGAGGAACACCGAUGGCGAAGGCAGCCUCCUGGGCCAGCACUGACGCUCAUGCACGAAAGCGUGGGGAGCAAACAGGAUUAGAAACCCUUGUAGUCC
rnacentral:rRNA from 1 species